CUUGGUGAUUCUAGCGGCAAGGGUACACCUGGUUACAUCCCGAACCCAGAAGUUAAGCUUGCCAGCGCCGAUGGUACUUGAGUGGGAAACCCUCUGGGAGAGUUGGUCAUUGCCAAGA
rnacentral:rRNA from 1 species